UCMAUGUCUACUACMCGUCGAUGGUUUGGUUUGGUUUCAAUUGAUUCAAAAUUGUAUGCAAUCGGAGGCUAUGAUAAUAAAAARCUGUCUAAUAUUGUUGAAACAUAUGAUACGCUAACAAAUCUAUGGAAAUGUGUUUCAUCAAUGAAUUUACCACGCAUUGAUUUUGGUUCAGCUGUAAUUAAUAAUACUAUUUAUGUUUGCGGUGGUC